UUUCACUUUCUAUGAGAAACAGUCGCAGAAAAAUAAAAUAAACCCAAAAACAUUCUUCAAAAUCUCUCUUCAUUUUCAUGGAAAACCUCACACAUUCUCAACACCCAAACAUGCUCUCCAAGAAGCCCUUCACCAACCCCAGCAAAACUGUCUACGACGACGUAUUUUCUGCCCCACCUCGUUUUGGAGCGGCCCCAACAUUGUCUCCUCGAGUGGAAGACUACGGCGAGAUAUUCGGCGCGUUUCACGCGCCACGUGGAGCUUCCUCCUCGAUUCCAGUGCUUGAUCUCCCAUUGGUAGAUAAUGAAGCAGCUGAAGAUGUUUUCUUUGAUGUUAGAAGUUGUUCUGGAUUUGAUUAUAAUGAGGUUUUUGGUGGGUUUAAUGCCUCUGAUUUUGAUGUUUCCUUCGAAGAGUUGAUGAUGGAGCAUUCUAACGGCCGUGAUUUUUCCUCUGAUGAAGCUUGGACACCGGAAGAUCCUGAAUAUCUAUCAGAAGAGUCAGAUAAUUCUGCAAAGAACCAAUGCUUGUCGAAUGGUGACUCUCAUGAGUCCAUUGAUGGGAGUAUGGAAUUUAACAUAUCAUAUCAUAAAGCUAGUCAAAGCAGCAAUAAAGAUAUGACAAAUGGGAUCACACAUGUGACUAAGCUAUUUGAUGUUCCUGGAUAUGCUUUUAUGGUUGAUAAAUCCAUGUCUUUGCCAAAGACAGAUAAUGAGUACCCACCUCUGCAUGUGAGUGAUGAUGGCCAUCUCAAUAUUGAUUUUAUGGGGGAAAUGAUGGGGGAAAAGAAGCUUAGGAAGACCAUGUCACAUCCGGCUAAUGGCAGUGCUGAUGGGCUAGUUUUUGGAAAUGAAGUUAGACCUCAUAAGGAAUAUGUCAGAAAUGUCUCUCUUCCUAACGAGACAUUUGUUACUAUUUCUGAUGUCAACCUUAAAACUCACCCCUCUCAUUUGCCACCACCCUCUAGACCACCUCCUGCAUUUGAUUUCAAAAAGAGAGAUUUUAGUAAAUCAACUCCAAACUGUCAAGGUGUUGCUUCCUCAGGGAGUGCUGGUGAUAGUUCUCCACCUUACUUUGAUGUAGAGGUAGAUGCAAGUUCCUCUGCUGCAGCCUCUGCCGCUGCUAUAGAAGAAGCUAUGGAGAAAGCUCAAGCCAAGCUUAAAAGUGCAAAAGAAUUGAUGGAGAGGAAGAGGGAUGGCUUUCAAAGCCGUACAAAAUCAGGUUCAAAGAAUGAUAGGAAGGAUAGAGAAGGUAGGGUGAGUAAGAAUGAUGAUGUGUCUGGUAGUAAAAAAUAUGAAGAGGGCACUUGUGAAAGAGAAAAUAAAAUUGAGUUUUCUGUCAUGGAGGAAAGGAAAAAGAUUAGAAUUCCAGAUUCAGUGGAAGGGAAAAGGCAUCUAAAUGCAGCAGAAAAAUCUUCUGAUGAGAAGCAUGGAAGGGAAUCCUUGUCAUCUCAAGGAUCUGAUAGAAUUGAUGAAGCUGGAGAGUGGAAAGAAGCUACUCAAUUUUUUGAACUGGUAAGAACAAAUGUGCCCAGAAAAGUCACUGAGUCGGAAAAUAAUGAUAACAUUUUGCUGCAGAACACAAACAUUCAUGAACGAGGGCAGAAGGUGAAAAAGGCAGCCACGGAAGCAAUGCAGCAGCAGCAAGAAAAUGGGAAGAAAGUACAAGCAUUUACAGCAGAUCAUGAACUAGAGGAAUAUGCAAAGAACCCUAAAGUAUCAAAACCAGCUCGUGACCAUGGGGGAAGCAAUGGGAGAUCAGAAGCUGCUAAAGUGUCACAUGGAGAGAAAGGGCUUGCGAUGAAGGUACAAGUGGCUCAAGAGGUUUUCAGAGUGGAGGAUGAGGAGAGAUUUAGAAUGAACUUGCAGUCUAUAGGAACUGAAAAGAGACAAACUAGAGCUAAUGGGUCACAAAAACAUGAGAACGUGGUAGAGGUUCCACGAGAACAAAGUAAAAUUGAAGUUAGGCAGACUGCAGAGGACAAGGAGAAAGGGCCUUUGCCAAAAGAGGCUAUUAGAAGUGUGGAGAAUGAGAAACAACUCAUUCGUAAAAAGGAUGGUGGUGAAAGGAGAGGAAGGAGCACUUUUGAGCAGGAAGAAAAUGAAAAGAUGCUCAAAGCACCUCUUGAACAAAUGGAAAAUGAGAGAAGGCUGAAGGAGGCACUGAAGCAGGGAGAAAAGGAGAAGAGGAUAAACGAGGCUUGCGUGAGGGAAGAAACUGAGAAGAAGCAGAGAGAGGCUUAUGAAAAAGAAGAAAAGGAGAAGAGAUUAAGAGCAGCUCUUGAAUGGGAAGAAAAUGAGAGGAAACUCAAAGAAGCCUUUGUGAAGGAGGAGAAUGAGAGGAGACUGAAAGAGAUUUGUGAGGAGUAUGAGAGGAGACUAGGAGAGGCUACUGAUAGGGAGGAGAAUGAAAGGAGACAAAGAGAGGUUCGUGAAAGAGAAGAAAAUGAGAAGAGACUCAAAGAAGCUCUUGAGAAGGAAGAGAAUGAGGGGAGGCUGAGAGAGUUUUGCCAAAGUGAAGAGAAUGAGAAAAGACCAAAAGAAGCUCUUGAGCAUGAAAAUAAGAAAAAACAGAAAGAGGCUAAUGAAAGAGAAGGAACUGAGAAGAAAUCUAAAGAGGUUUUUGAAAAUGAAGGGAUUGAAGAGACACUAGAACAAGAAGCAAAUGAAAAGCGACUAGAAGAGACAAAUGAGCUUGUUGAAAGUGGCAAGUUAAGAGAGGCUCUGGAGGGAGAAGCAAGUGAACUAGGAACAUGUGAGCCAGAAGAAAUUGGGGAUGCAUCCCAAGAGAUUCGCAACUUGGGAAACAUUGAGGUGACGCUUAAGGAUGUCUCUGAGAAUGAUGAGCUAGGGGUGCUAAAUGAGAUGGGUGGGAACUGCAGGGUAGCGAAGCAGGCAUGUGAGACAGAUGAAAAUAGGAACCUUGGGUCAACUAGAUUAGUUGGAAAACAUGAGGGGAAGAACGGGAAACAAGAAGUGACUGGGGAGAAUGCUCAUGAAGAAAUUAGCAAGGUACCUCCAGGUCUGAAAAUUGGCAACAAGGAAGCAACAGUUGAAACUGUGAAUGUGCAGGUUGAUGGACAAACAAAAGUGUCUGGUGUGGAUCAAGGCAACUUAGAACAUGAAAAGAAUCAAUCUAUAGUGGAAGAUGAUGCAGCAGCUUCGGUUUAUGGUGAUGAAAGGAUGAGAAAAGCAGGGGAAGCUGGAAAUGGAACUGGACAAAUGAACAUAGAGAAAACUAAGAAAGCCUUCCAAAUAGAAUCUGAUACUGCAAAUCAAGGCAAGGAAUUUGAUCAGGAUAGGGGUGAGAGAAGAAAGAAUAUGCCUCAGGCAGUUGUUAUGAAUCAGGAAGACAAAAAGGACAAUUUCAUGUCAACCGGGGCAGUGAAAAAGUCGGUUGUGACGGGAAGGAAAAUAGAAGCUGCUCAGCCAGCUGAUUUAGAAGCAAAGGGAAGCACCCUGGGAUCAACUCAGCAGUUUAAUGUGAGUGAAAGGAAAAUGAAGAAUCUCAACAAGACCCUUUCACCUGAAGAAAAAGAAGCUGAAAGGAUGAGAAGAGAAAAAGAGUUGGAAAUGGAACGUCUUAGAAAGAUGGAAGAAGAGAGGGAGAGGGAGAGGGAAAGAGAAAAGGAUAGAAUGGCUGUUGACAGAGCAGCGCUUGAAGCUCGUGAAAGGGUACAUACUGAAGCCCGUGAUAGGGCAGAACGGGCUGCUGUGGAAAGAGCAAUAACUGAGGCCCGUGAAAGGCUAGAGAAGGCCUGUGUGGAGGCUAGGGAGAAGUCAUUGGCUGAUAAUAAAACAUAUUUAGAGGCCAGGCUCAGGGAACGUGCUGCAGUAGAGAGAGCUACUGCAGAGGUCCGAGAGCGUGCUUUCGGAAAAGUAAUGUCUGAAAGGACUGCUUUUGAGACAAGAGAACGAGUAGAAAGAUCUGUCUCAGAUAAAUUCUCUGCUUCUUCCAGGAAUGGUGGAAUGGGACCUAGCUCUUCAUCCUCUGUAUAUAAUGGUUCCUACUAUAUGGAGAGAUCUGAAGGGGUGGAAGGUGAGUCACCUCAGAGGUGUAAAGCAAGGUUAGAGAGACAUAGGCGAACAGCUGAACGUGCGGCAAAAGCUCUAGCAGAGAAAAAUAUGCGAGAUCUUCUUGCUCAGAGGGAACAAGCAGAGAGAAAUAGAUUAGCAGAAACUCUGGAUGCUGAUGUCAAGAGAUGGUCAAGCGGGAAAGAAGGAAACUUGCGUGCAUUGCUUUCAACUUUGCAAUAUAUCCUUGGACCUGAUAGUGGCUGGCAGCCAAUUCCGUUGACUGAAGUUAUAACUUCAGCAGCUGUAAAGAAAGUUUACAGGAAAGCCACUCUUUGUGUUCAUCCUGACAAAUUACAACAACGGGGUGCAAGUCUUCAGCAGAAGUACAUAUGCGAGAAGGUCUUUGAUCUUCUGAAGGAAGCUUGGAACAAGUUCAACUCAGAAGAGCGGUAGCCCGAGCUUGUUAUAUCUGUGCUGAUUGCUUAUUUACAGCAAGCUACUCAUUCUGUAAAUACAUUCGUCCCAUGGCUAAAAUAUCUUCAAGUCCAUCUGAUAUUUCAUUGCCUGUUGGAGUUUCAGGAUGUAAUUUAUGCUCAAAGGAAAAUAGGGGAAAAAGGCGGAAGAAUUGGGUAACGAGUCAACAAAGCUGGACAAAUUUUUAGAGAGGUUUGUCAUGGUUGUUUUCUGGCCAGAUCAGGGAGUUCUUUGAACCCUAAUUAUUUGUAUUAAUCUCUUCAAUCUUAUUAAUAUGUCUAGGAAAGACAUUUAGGUUCUUGUAAAGUUCAAUUUCAUCUUGAGUGAGCCUUUAUCAUCAACUACAAGAUUUAGUAAAAGCCCCAAAGCUAAAUCUCACAGGCUUCAAGAUGUUCAUCUCAGGCACUCAAUGAGUUUUAUUUCAUGCAAUCACCAAGGUAGAUGGAGACAUGAAGGAUGGAAACUCAAUUGGCUGUGAAGAUGUAGAUAAAAGUAGGUUUUUGUCUUGGUAUUAGGGCCAAUUUUUGGUUUUUCUAAAAAGGAGGGAUAGAGGUAACAAGAUAUAUAAAAUGAAGUCAAUUUUUUUUC